AGAGACGAGUCAGUAGUUUGAUCCUGGCUCAGGACGAACGCUGGCGGCGUGCCUAACACAUGCAAGUCGAGCGGGGAGGAGGAAGCUUGCUUCCGAAUCCUAGCGGCGGACGGGUGAGUAACGCGUGAGCAACCUGCCUCAAACAGGGGGAUAACGCAUCGAAAGAUGUGCUAAUACCGCGUAAGACCACGGUGUCGCAUGACACAGAGGUCAAAGGAGCAAUCCGGUUUGAGAUGGGCUCGCGUCCGAUUAGCUAGUUGGUGAGAUAACAGCCCACCAAGGCAACGAUCGGUAGCCGACCUGAGAGGGUGAUCGGCCACAUUGGAACUGAGAAACGGUCCAG
rnacentral:rRNA from 1 species